rnacentral:lncRNA from 1 species
CUUCAGCCUGCUUGGAGGCGCGGUCCGGGGCAGUCGGUGUCGCGCUCAGGGCAGGAAGCCCCAGCCAAGCCCGCUCGCUCUGCCUGGUGCAUCCCCGGGGGAUGGUGAGAGGCAGUCACUCCUCCCACCUACGCGGGGGCACUUCGGCUGGCGGCUGUUGGCGCGCCCUCUGCCAGCCGGCUAGCCGGUGCAGGAUCCACAAUCUUCAAGGGUGGCCAGGUGCUUCCAAGAUCCUAAACGCAGUUAACCACUCGGCGAGGUAGAAAACAGGCCCAGAGAAGUUCAAGAACUUGCUGUAGAAGAUUACUGAACGAGCUGGACAAGCAUGGCAUCAGCAUCCACUCAGCUUCUGGUGAGGCUUCAGGGAGCUUUUAGUCAUGGCGGAAGGGAAGAGGAGCUGGUCUGUCUUGUGGCAAAAGAGGGAGCAAGAGAGAGAGGAGGAGGUGCCAGCCUCCUUGAAACAGCCAACUCUUGCAUGAACUAACAGAUCAAGAACUCACUCAUUGCCAUGGGGAGGGGACUAAGUCAUUCAUGAGGGAUCCAUCCCUAUUAUCCAACACCUCCUGCUAGGCCCCACCUCCAACAUUGAGAAUCACAUUUCAACACGUGAUGUGGAGGGGACACACAUCCACACCAAAUCACUUUGGCUAUAAAAGAUGCAUAAAAUAUGGUCCAUGUAAUGUAGUUGGUGACACCAACCUGCAUGCAAAAAACAUGAAGGAAGGCAAGAUAGUGUAUGCUUUUCCCUCUGUUUAUCCAAACAUGACCCUGCCUUUCAGGUCCAAAUCAAAUCUUCCCCACUCACUAAGCAUUUAUCAUUCAUUCCUAUACUUGGUCAGAUUUUAAUGAGGACUUACUGAAUCCCAGGUACAAUAUUCAGGAAUCAGAGACAGGGCAGUGAACAAGAUAGCCACAGUUCCUAUUCAAGGACUUAACAAACCAAUGAUCUUGAAAAGUUAUGUAACUCUUACAUAUGUAGGUAUGCUGGCAAAAAAACUGUAAGCUCCUGAAAGGUCGUGAUCAUAUCUUACAUUCUUUUGCGAUCUCCGUACCAGCUAACAUUUGUCCAUAGAACUUAUUGAAUAAAGUUCGAAGGGCUGGGUUGGGUGGAAUUUUUAGUAAAUGUGAAAAGCUAUAAAUUGAUAGCAAAAUCUCAACACAGAGAAAUCUUAAAACACUAAGAACUCUUGCCCACUCCUCAAAACUCAAAACUCAAAUGUCACCUCCUCCAUGAUGCCUUCCCUUAACUAUUCAGGCAGGGUUCGACCCUUUCUUCUCUGAAUCCACACAAUUGGGUGAAGACCAUGGAUAAAACUUAGCACAGUUAUUGUAAUUACUAGUUUACUUGCUUCCCCUCAGAUAAGUAGUUGGGUGUUUGGAGGAAAGGGGAGAGGGUCCCCAAGCCCUCCCAGGGAGACAGCUCCUCCCUGUUUCUUGAAUGGAGAGACAGUAGAGAAUGCACGUGCCCAGCAGGCUUUUUCCUGAUAGAAUGACAGACAUACAAACGAACAUUCACAAAAUUACCACUCCAUGUAAACAUAUGAAUGAUGGUCCUCCCAACUCUUUUCCUGAGAAGUUAAGGAUAAAGUGUUUAAUUGUACAUUUUAAGAUAAAUUAAAGAGUGUAAUUGGAUUGUAACUCAAAGGAUAAUGGUUGAGGGAAAGAAUACCCUAUUCCCCAUGAUGUGCUUACUUCACAUUGCAUGCCUGUAUCAAAACAUCUCAUGUACCCCAUAAAUAUGUACACCUACUAUGUACCCACAAAAAUUUUUUUAAUUUUUUAAAAAAUAAAUAAAUAAAUAAAU